rnacentral:rRNA from 1 species
GACGAACGCUGGCGGCGUGCUUAACACAUGCAAGUCGAGCGGAAAGGCCCUUUCGGGGGUACUCGAGCGGCGAACGGGUGAGUAACACGUGAGUAAUCUGCCCUGCGCUUCGGGAUAACCAUCGGAAACGGUGGCUAAUACCGGAUAUGACCACUUCGGGCAUCCGAUGGUGGUGGAAAGUUUUUUCGGCGCAGGAUGUGCUCGCGGCUUAUCAGCUUGUUGGUGGGGAAAGGUCCUACCAAGGCUUCGACGGGUAGCCGGCCUGAGAGGGUGACCGGCCACACUGGGACUAAGACACGGCCCAGACUCCUACGGGAGGCAGCAGUGGGGAAUAUUGGACAAUGGGCGGAAGCCUGAUCCAGCAGCGCGGCGUGAGGGAUGACGGCCUUCGGGUUGUAAACCUCUUUCAGCACAGACGAAGCGCAAGUGACGGUAUGUGCAGAAGAAGGACCGGCCAACUACGUGCCAGCAGCCGCGGUAACAC